CAGUCGCCGCGGUAACACGGAGGGUGCAAGCGUUAAUCGGAAUUACUGGGCGUAAAGCGUGCGUAGGCGGUUCGUUAAGUCUGUUGUGAAAGCCCCGGGCUCAACCUGGGAAUGGCAAUGGAUACUGGCGAGCUAGAGUGUGUCAGAGGAUGGUGGAAUUCCCGGUGUAGCGGUGAAAUGCGUAGAGAUCGGGAGGAACAUCAGUGGCGAAGGCGGCCAUCUGGGACAACACUGACGCUGAGGCACGAAAGCGUGGGGAGCAAACAGGAUUAGAUACCCGCGUAGUCCCUGUCUCUUAUAC
rnacentral:rRNA from 1 species